UAGCCUAAUAAUUGAGGCUAUGGAUUGCCAAUCCAGAGACGGCGGGUUCGAUUCCCGU
rnacentral:tRNA from 1 species